CGCGAAAAACCUUACCCACCUUUGACAUGUACGGAAUUCGCCAGAGAUGGCUUAGUGCUCGAAAGAGAACCGUAACACAGGUGCUGCAUGGCUGUCGUCAGCUCGUGUCGUGAGAUGUUGGGUUAAGUCCCGCAACGAGCGCAACCCUUGUCAUUAGUUGCUACAUUUAGUUGGGCACUCUAAUGAGACUGCCGGUGACAAACCGGAGGAAGGUGGGGAUGACGUCAAGUCCUCAUGGCCCUUAUAGGUGGGGCUACACACGUCAUACAAUGGCUGGUACAAAGGGUUGCCAACCCGCGAGGGGGAGCUAAUCCCACAAAGCCAGUCGUAGUCCGGAUCGUAGUCUGCAACUCGACUACGU
rnacentral:rRNA from 1 species